rnacentral:rRNA from 1 species
CGUCCUCAAGGACAACACUUCAUGACAUUUUGACCUCAAAUCAGGUAGGACUACCCGCUGAACUUAAGCAUAUCAA